CCUACGGGUGGCAGCAGUGAGGAAUAUUGGUCAAUGGACGAGGGUCUGAACCAGCCAAGUAGCGUGAAGGAUGACUGCCCUAUGGGUUGUAAACUUCUUUUAUAUGGGAAUAAAAUGUUCCACGUGUGGGAUUUUGUAUGUACCUUAUGAAUAAGCAUCGGCUAACUCCGUGCCAGCAGCCGCGGUACUACGGAGGAUACAAGCGUUCUCCGGAUUUAUUGGGUUUAACGGGUGCGUAGGUGGAUUGUUAAGUCAGUUGUGAACGGUUGCGGCUCAACCGUAAAAUUGCAGUUGAAACUGGCAGUCUUGAGUACAGUAGAGGUGGGCGGAAUUCGUGGUGUAGCGGUGAAAUGCUUAGAUAUCACGAAGAACGCCGAUUGCGAAGGCAGUUCACUGGACUGCAACUGACACUGAGGCUCGAAAGUGUGGGUAUCAAACAGGAUUAGAUACCCUGGUAGUC
rnacentral:rRNA from 1 species